rnacentral:lncRNA from 1 species
CCUCUGAAUGAAUCUCUUAUAAGUGGGCUUCUGUCACUGUGGUGGUAUGAGAGCUAAUUUGCAUAAUCUCCCCCGGUUAAAGAAGGAUGCCCGGGAUGCUUUUACGGGGGGGGUGUUAGGAAUGAUAGGGGGGGCUUGUGGGGACACACAAUGAGGACUUUGUGCAUCUCCGCUGGUACAGGGUUAGACAGGGCCUACAGGACUACUGUGGGAGACACCUGUCAGGAUAGGAGCCUGAGGGAACUGGUACUGAACCCAUGAAGAGGCUUCUUUAAUGAGGCAUUGUGGAGGGUUGGUGGGUGUAUGAGUGUGUGUGUGUGCGAGAGAGCGAGAGAUUGAGUGUGUGUUUCAGAUCAAAUCAAAGUUUAUUGGUGGCGUACACAGUUUAGCAGAUGUUAUCGCAGGUGCAGCGAAAUGGUUAUGUUUCUAUCUCCAACAACGCAGCAAUAUGUAGCAAUACAAUAACAAUGCACACAUCAUCCACAAGUGACGUGUGUGUGUGUGUGUGUGUGUGUGUGUGUGUUGCUGGUAAUGUCUGUCAUGCUGCUCUGACAGCAGUAGUUUAACGCAGGCAAUCUGCUUAAUAUGCCCAAUGUGAGACAUUAGGUGUGUGUAUGAUCCAUUAGAUUAGAACAACAUUAAGGAGAUUGGGAGAUUUGGACUAUAUUGUUUUCUCACGGCACCGUGGAGAGAGCGAUAAAAUUACAAGGAACUAGAGAUUGUAGGUUUUAGCCCCAGCAAACAUGUCCACAUUGUCUCGAUGUGGGCCCAAUUCGGGCUAAAAUAUUGGCCCCAUCUAGGCUGCCCACAUUGGGCCGAUGCGCCUUUGCUCAUCGGCUCCACAUUGGCCCCCAAGGCAUUUGCCCAGUGUGGCUCAGUGUGGGCAGCCCAGAUCUGGUGAGGCAGCUGUCACUUUGUCUGAAAUACACCCUUCUUUUCCCAGCAAACAUGUCCAAAUUGUCACGAUUUGAACCCAAUGCAGGCUAAAAUAUUGACCCCUUGUAAGCUGCCCACAUUGGGCUGAUGCGCCUUCGCUAUUUAAUAUUUAUUUAUUUAAACUUAAUUCAAUGCAUAAAUUGCAUAAUUUUCUACUCUUACAGGUAUUUAUGGAACGUGAUACAAUUUUUUCAGAAAGACAACCAAGUUAUUACCAUCAUACAUACAGAAUAUAUUUAACAAGAGAAACAUUU